AUGGUAUUACUCUGUUUCUUUAGUCGAUACAUUUGAGGGAUGUUUCGUUUAGUUAGCUGCUAUAUGAUCUUCUGCUGUUGUCAGGCCAUUUUACCUGUUAUCGUGGGCCUUACUUCUUAUUGGGUCAUUGAAGAAAUAGCAUCAAUCUACUGCUCUACAUGGAUUAUAAAUGAGCACGUGCCAAAUGACAUUCUACAACAAUCUUAAUGGGAUAUAACGAACACAGUCCGAUCAUGGAAACGAGAAACUGAAGACGUUCUAUAAUCUUCUACCAGAGGAAGGCGCAAAUGUUUGAAGGCCAUUUCUGCACGAGUUCAAAUAGUUUUUACGAAAAAGGAAUGACAGACGGAUUGACGAUUUCAUCCUCGGAAUUUUCAAAUGCUCUAUUCACACAUGGGAGUGCAAAGAUUCUAUGGACACCCUGCUAACUCCGUCCAUUGAGUAUGAUCCAAAGGUUCGUCUUGAUUGGCAUUAACCUUCAUGGCAUCGUACAUCUAGAUGGCUUUUUCACAUUCCUGUUAUCAAUCGGCAACUGAAUGGUAAAACUUUUAAUAAUGAAGUACCUUUACAUGAUUUUGGAUAAGCACGGCACCUUAAAGUAUUCUCUGCUUGGGAGUUUACUAUCUGAUGAACUCGAAAACCACAUGAA